AGAGUUUGAUCAUGGCUCAGAAUCAACGCUGGCGGCGCGCUUAACACAUGCAAGUCGAACGAGAAAGCGGGGGCAACCUCGUGAGUAAAGUGGCGUACGGGUGAGUAACACGUGGGUAAUCUACCUCCGGGUGCGGAAUAACGCUGGGAAACCGGCGCUAAUACCGCAUAAGCUUGAGAAAGGAAAGCAGCAAUGCGCCGGGAGAGGAGCCCGCGGCCGAUUAGCUAGUUGGUGAGGUAACGGCCCACCAAGGCGAAGAUCGGUAGCCGGCCUGAGAGGGCACACGGCCACACUGGCACUGAAACACGGGCCAGACUCCUACGGGAGGCAGCAGUGGGGAAUCUUGCACAAUGGGGGCAACCCUGAUGCAGCGACGCCGCGUGAACGAUGAAGCCCUUCGGGGUGUAAAGUUCUUUCGGCAGGGAAGAAACAUGACGGUACCUGCAGAAGCAGCUGCGGCUAACUACGUGCCAGCAGCCGCGGUAAUACGUAGGCAGCGAGCGUUGUUCGGAGUUACUGGGCGUAAAGGGUGUGUAGGCGGUCCUCUAAGUUUGGUGUGAAAUCUCCCGGCUUAACCGGGAGGGUGCGCCGAAAACUGGGGGACUAGAGUGCGGGAGGGGAGAGUGGAAUUCCUGGUGUAGCGGUGAAAUGCGUAGAUAUCAGGAGGAACCCGGUGGUGUAGACGGCUCUCUGGACCGUAACUGACGCUGAGACACGAAAGCGUGGGUAGCAAACAGGAUUAGAUACCCCAGUAGUCC
rnacentral:rRNA from 1 species